rnacentral:misc_RNA from 1 species
GUAAGCAUGCUCAUAGUUGUCUCAGAUAAGCAAACAUAGACAACACUUGCACAGACGCUUAGAUUUUGAGUAGGAAAGAAAUGAACUCCAAACUUCGUACACACAUUGAUUAGUUCUUCAAGGAAAACUGCCAGAAUCUACAUUUCUUAUCGAUUCAGCACGGAAAGAUAAAGUCGAUCCUUUUGAACACUCUGAUUGAUUCUUAUUCCUGAAAGAAGUUCAUUGACAUUUAACACCAAAACCAAACUUCAAACUGUCCUUCAACGGGGGAUAAGAUAUGAGAAUUACUGUCCUUCAACCUUGUUCUGCCACCAUUCCAUGAAUUUAACCUGAGCAGCCAUGGUGUCAAGCCUGUAUAGCUGCAGCCAGUGAUUAGCAACUUCCUGUCCAAAUGUCCAGCCAAAGACAGCGCCAGCUCCAAGAGAUAGUGCAGUACCAUGCAAACUCCUGGAAUACUUCCAAGUAACACCUGCAGUUGAAACAGCUCCAAUAAUGCCUCCUACAGCACUAAUCUUUACUGCUUCCCUAGCAGUCCUCAGAGUGGGUCCGUGAAGUGGAUCAGAAGCAAUGAACUCCUCAACAUCAGAAUCAGACCAAGAGGGGAGUGGCUUGUCGCGCUUGAUGAACCUUGAAUAGUUGUCCAAAAAGGAAAAUCUCUCGCCCCAAAACUCCUUGUAUCCUUCCCAGUGCUUCCUAAAGAAU